GAAAUGCGAUAAGUAAUGUGAAUUGCAGAAUUCAGUGAAUCAUCGAAUCUUUGAACGCACAUUGCGCCCAUUAGUAUUCUAGUGGGCAUGCCUGUUCGAGCGUCAUUUCGACCAUCAAGCCCUAUUUGCUUGGCGUUGGGAGCUUAGCCUGCUGUUGCGGGAUAACUCCUCAAAUAUAUUGGCGGAGUCGCGAAGACCCCAAGCGUAGUAAUUUUUUCUCGCUUCCGGUGUGUCGGCGCUGGCGUCCAGCCACUAAACCCCCAAAUUUUUAAAGGUUUGACCUCGGAUCAGGUAGGAAUACCCGCUGAACUUAA
rnacentral:misc_RNA from 1 species